rnacentral:rRNA from 1 species
AGCAGUAGCCGCGGUAAAACGUAGGGUGCAAGCGUUGUCCGGAAUUAUUGGGCGUAAAGAGCUCGUAGGCGGUUUGUCGCGUCUGCUGUGAAAUCUGGGGGCUCAACCCCCAGCCUGCAGUGGGUACGGGCAGACUAGAGUGCGGUAGGGGAGAUUGGAAUUCCUGGUGUAGCGGUGGAAUGCGCAGAUAUCAGGAGGAACACCGAUGGCGAAGGCAGAUCUCUGGGCCGUAACUGACGCUGAGGAGCGAAAGCAUGGGGAGCGAACAGGAUUAGAUACCCGCGUAGUCCCUGUCUCUUAUAC